AACGAACGCUGGCGGCAUGCCUAACACAUGCAAGUCGAACGAGACCUUCGGGUCUAGUUGCGCACGGGGGCGUAACGCGUGGGAACCUGCCCUUAGGCUCGGAAUAAUUCCCCGAAAGGGGUGCUAAUACCGGGAAACUUCUUCUGACAAAAGAUAUAUCGCCUUGGGAUGGGCCGGGGUUGGUUUAGCUGGGUGGUAGGGUAAAAGCCUACGACGGCGACGAUCGUUAGCUGGGUUGAGAGGAUGAGCAGCCACACUGGGACUGGGACACGGCCCAGACUCCUACGGGAGGCAGCAGUGGGGAAUAUUGGAAAAUGGGCGAAAGCCUGAUCCAGCAAUGCCGCGUGAGUGAUGAAGGCCUUAGAGUUGUAAAGCUCUUUUACCCGGGAUGAUAAUGACAGUACCGGGAGAAUAAGCACCGGCUAACUCCGUG
rnacentral:rRNA from 1 species